GGGCAAGUGGCCGAGUGGUUUAAGGCGACAGACUGUAAAUCUGUUGAUUAGGUUCACCGUUGGUUCGAAUCCAACCUUUCCCA
rnacentral:tRNA from 1 species